UCUGACUAGGAAAAGAUUACAGUGUUCAUUCUGUAUUGAGAUGCAUGAAAUCAUUUUCCUUCCAUUUUGAAGCAGUAUGCAUUUAGGUGCAAGAUUAGAGUGCAGCACCAACGUAGAUAUGUUGCUCUUUAAAUCCUUUGAUUGGAAGCAUAAUUGUUUAGUCUGUUUCUAUGUGCAGAUUUCAAACUCUGCCCGAAUGGUGGAACCAAUCGAACUGUUUAUAUCAUUGUUGGAGUUGCAAUUGGAGCAUUAUGCUUACUAGUUACUACUCUUUUUAGGGGGAAUCCUUUGGUGGAAAGGCCGUUUGCUGGGGAAAAGGAGGGGAAAAAAAGAUAUGCCCCCGUGGUUUGCUAUGCAUAUGAGCUUUCAAUCUUUCCUCAAUUGUAACCUGAGCAAGUAAUUACAAACAAAGUGAAUUCCUUGGUUUACUGGUUCUUAUGUGCAUCCUUGUACAAACGCUAGACAACUAGAUUCGUUGACGGAGACUUUUAGCUUAAAACAAAUAAAAGCUGCUACUAAUGAUUUCGAUUGUGCCAACAAAAUUGGAGAAGGUGGCUUUGGUCCUGUUUACAAGGCCUGUCAUUAGCAACAAACUGGAAAAUUGAUGAGGCUCAUUGAUGAUAGGUUGGAGUCUGAGGUUGACGAAAAGGAAGCUGAAAUUAUGGUUAAAGUAGCUUUGUUAUGCACAAAUGCAUCCGCAUCACUAAGGCCAACCACGUGUGAGGUGGUAAGCAUGCUUGAAGGGCGAUUGGCUAUUCGGGACCGGAUCCCAGAAGCAAGCACCUAUCAUUAAGACCUGAGGUUUAAGACCAUGAGAGACCUCCAUAAAGACAGGCAAAAUCAGAGUUUGAGUGGAAGCCAAACCCACAAUUCAACAACAUUUUGCUCUUCCUCUACAUGUGGACAUGACUUCGGUGAUAUCAAACCAUACUCAAAAUCUUGCUGAGAAGUGUGAGCAUUCCUCUUUGUAGCUCUGUAAUCAAAGUUGGCAUUCUUUUACAGAUGGAUUAUUAACUGCACUGUGAGAACACUGAAAAUUUAAACUUCUAUUUCCACUCUUCUUUUUUCGUGUGUACUUUUUUUAAUCUAAAAAUUAGUGGAAGGUAAUUUGAUUACAAUAUAUCUGAAUACGAAGACAUAAA